rnacentral:rRNA from 1 species
GACGUAGGGCGCGAGCGUUGUCCGGAUUAUUGGGCGUAAAGAGCUCGUAGGCGGCUUGUCGCGUCGAAUGUGAAAACUCGGGGCUCAACUCCGAGCUUGCAUUCGAUACGGGCAGGCUAGAGUUCGGUAGGGGAGACUGGAAUUCCUGGUGUAGCGGUGAAAUGCGCAGAUAUCAGGAGGAACACCGGUGGCGAAGGCGGGUCUCUGGGCCGAUACUGACGCUGAGGAGCGAAAGCGUGGGGAGCGAACAGG